UACGUAGGGUGCAAGCGUUGUCCGGAAUUAUUGGGCGUAAAGAGCUCGUAGGCGGCCUGUCGCGUCGGCUGUGAAAACCCGGGGCUCAACCCCGGGCCUGCAGUCGAUACGGGCAGGCUAGAGUCCGGUAGGGGAGACUGGAAUUCCUGGUGUAGCGGUGAAAUGCGCAGAUAUCAGGAGGAACACCGGUGGCGAAGGCGGACU
rnacentral:rRNA from 1 species